CGAGCGAUGUAUCGACUCCUCUAAAUUCCGCGAUAUCGUAAAUUGCAUAUUGCGAAACAGUGCGUGUGUAUUCUCUGCUACUGAACGCGUUUAUGACGUGGAUUCUUUUCUUCACAAAAAUUAAUUACGUUGCUUACGAAAAAGCAAAGCGGAAACGGAGGAAAACAUCGAAAACUCGGCGCAGUACGCGUGCGAGCAGCUAGAGGGCAACACGAAUCGAUUACCACUCCGCUAAUGGCUUAUUUCACUUAACACGCCUUUCCGUGUGGCAAGCUGGUAUGCUGUGUAUCGUGAUUAGCUUUUCACGGCUAGAGAUCGACAGGGAAGAAUGAAGCUCCGCGGCCCGUGACCAGUGAGGGGUGAUCGGUUUGCAUGCCAAUUCGCGAUCUGUUCUUGGCGUCAAGACAUAAACUGUCACCAGAAGCUGUUGGUCCUCCAAUUUCUUGGGGGCCAGUGGUGUCAGUGACACCAGAGAAUAAUACGAGCUGCUAGCGUGAAGAAGUGCAGUGAAGUUGGCUUAGGCCAACGUUGGUGGACGAGGCAAAAUGGCAACAAUAGAUGGCCGACCAGCCCAAUAUGGUGUCACUCUUAAGCAACUUCGUGAACUCAUGCAGGUCCGAGGGCGUGAAGGAGUUGAACAAAUCAAUAGCCAUGGUGGUGUGCAAGAGAUUUGUAAAAAAUUAUAUACUUCACCCAGCGAAGGUCUCAGUGGAUCAGCAGCAGAUAUCCAACAUAGAAGGGAUACAUUUGGUUCCAAUUCAAUACCUCCAAAACCACCAAAAACGUUUCUACAGUUAGUAUGGGAGGCUCUGCAAGAUGUUACGUUAAUAAUCUUGGAAGUAGCAGCAUUGGUUUCAUUAGGUCUUAGCUUUUAUCAACCAGCAGAUGAUGAAGAAAAACCUUUGAUAGACGAGGAUGAAGCGAAAUACGGUUGGAUCGAAGGAGCUGCUAUAUUUAUUUCUGUGAUCUUGGUGGUAAUAGUAACAGCUUCCAAUGACUAUUCUAAGGAAAAACAAUUUAGGGGUCUCCAGAGUCGGAUAGAAGGAGAACAUAAAUUCUCCGUCAUUCGGCAAGGGGAGGUCAAACAGAUCUCUGUAUCUGACAUCGUUGUGGGUGACAUAUGUCAGAUAAAAUAUGGAGACCUGCUGCCAGCAGAUGGUAUCCUUAUACAAAGCAACGAUCUCAAAGUGGAUGAAUCCAGUUUAACAGGAGAGUCAGAUCAUGUUAAAAAAGGAGAAUCGUUUGAUCCCUUUGUACUCUCAGGUACACAUGUGAUGGAGGGUUCUGGGAAAAUGUUAGUUACUGCAGUAGGUGUUAACUCACAGGCUGGUAUUAUCUUUACUUUGUUGGGUGCUGCUGUUGAUCAACAAGAGCAAGAGAUCAAGAAAAUGAAGAAAGAGGCUAAGAAGCAGCGGAAGAAGAAGUCAUUAACAGGAGAUGAAGCUGGAGAAAUAACUGGAAACAGCCAUGUGAGCAGUGGCAAGCACGAGGGUGGGGAGAACCAUCACGCAGCCAGCCAUAGUAGCGGUGCAGAAGGAAAGAAAGAGAAGAGUGUUCUUCAAGCCAAGCUAACUAAACUUGCCAUACAAAUCGGUUACGCCGGCUCGACUAUAGCAGUGCUUACCGUUGUCAUUCUAGUCAUUCAGUUCUGUGUAACGACGUUCGUUAUACAAGGGAAACCUUGGAAGAAUACGUACGCUGGUGAUCUGGUGCGGCAUUUGAUCAUUGGUGUAACAGUACUUGUUGUCGCCGUUCCCGAAGGUCUUCCUCUGGCUGUUACCUUGUCUCUCGCUUAUUCCGUUAAGAAAAUGAUGAAAGACAACAACUUGGUGCGUCACUUGGAUGCCUGUGAGACUAUGGGUAACGCCACGGCAAUAUGUUCCGACAAGACUGGCACUCUAACUACCAACCGGAUGACCGUCGUUCAGUCGUACAUAUGCGAGAAGAUGAGCAAAACAAUCCCACAGUUCUCGGAGAUACCCAGCCACGUUGGAAACUUAUUACUUCAAGCUAUUUCUAUUAAUUCGGCGUACACAUCCAGAACAAUGCCCUCGCAGGACCCUACAGAGUUGCCGCUGCAAGUCGGCAAUAAAACCGAAUGUGCCUUACUUGGAUUCGUAGUAGCCCUGGGCAUGAAUUAUCAGACGAUACGAGACGAUCAACCAGAAGAAACUUUCACGCGGGUGUACACGUUCAAUAGCGUUAGGAAGAGCAUGUCCACUGUCAUACCGAGGAAAGAUGGUGGAUAUAGGCUCUUCACCAAGGGCGCUUCCGAGAUCAUCAUGAAGAAAUGUGCCUUUAUAUACGGUCAUGAAGGUCGUUUGGAGAAAUUUACCAGAGAUAUGCAAGAGCGUCUGGUGGAGAACGUGAUAGAGCCGAUGGCGUGCGACGGUCUCCGUACCAUCUCCAUCGCUUACCGCGACUUCGUUCUGGGUAAGGCGGAGAUCAACCAGGUUCACAUCGACAACGAGCCGACCUGGGACGACGAGGAAAAUAUUGUGAACAAUCUGACCUGUCUGGGUAUCGUCGGUAUCGAGGAUCCUGUGCGUCCUGAGGUGCCGGACGCAAUUAGAAAGUGUCAAAAGGCUGGGAUCACUGUGCGUAUGGUGACUGGAGACAAUAUAAACACAGCGCGUUCCAUAGCUCUGAAAUGUGGCAUCCUGAAGCCAAACGAGGACUUCCUGGUUUUGGAGGGAAAAGAUUUCAACAGAAAGAUCAGGGACAACAACGGAGAAGUACAGCAACAUCUGUUGGACAAAGUGUGGCCGAAAUUAAGGGUGUUAGCCAGAUCGUCACCAACAGACAAAUAUACGUUGGUGAAAGGCAUAAUUGAUAGCAAAGCGACUGUGAGUCGCGAGGUUGUUGCCGUGACUGGUGACGGUACGAACGAUGGCCCGGCCUUGAAGAAGGCCGACGUCGGCUUCGCCAUGGGCAUAGCCGGCACAGACGUCGCAAAAGAAGCCUCCGAUAUCAUAUUAACGGACGAUAAUUUCUCGUCGAUCGUGAAGGCGGUUAUGUGGGGUAGAAACGUCUACGAUAGUAUAGCGAAGUUCUUGCAGUUUCAGCUGACCGUCAAUAUCGUCGCUGUUAUAGUUGCUUUUAUCGGGGCAUGUGCCGUGCAAGAUUCGCCUCUUAAAGCGGUGCAGAUGUUGUGGGUGAACUUAAUCAUGGACACGUUAGCGUCGCUCGCAUUGGCCACCGAAUUGCCUACACAUGAUCUUCUUCUACGUAGACCGUACGGUCGCACGAAACCGCUCAUCUCCAGGACAAUGAUGAAGAACAUUCUCGGUCAAGCUGUCUAUCAGUUGACUGUAAUUUUUAUGCUUCUUUUCGUUGGCGAUAAGAUGCUCGACAUCGAAACAGGCCGAGGAGUCGCACAGGCUGGCGGCGGUCCAACGCAACACUUCACCGUCAUCUUCAACACGUUCGUCAUGAUGACUCUUUUCAACGAAUUUAACGCCAGGAAAAUCCAUGGUCAGCGUAAUGUCUUCCAAGGAAUAUUCACCAACCCCAUCUUUUAUUCUAUCUGGGUCAUGACAUGUCUAUCGCAGGUAGUUAUCAUACAAUACGGUAAAAUGGCGUUCAGCACGAAAGCUCUCACAUUAGAACAGUGGAUGUGGUGCCUGUUCUUCGGAGUCGGUACUCUAUUGUGGGGCCAAGUAAUUACGACUAUUCCUACGCGCAAGAUUCCUAAAAUCCUUUCAUGGGGCCGCGGCCAGCCGGAUGAUAUCGGUGCGAUCAAUCUCGGAGAUGAGAAAUUCGACCCUGACUCGGAUAAAAUGCCGCGCUCAGGACAAAUUCUAUGGAUCCGUGGUCUAACACGACUACAGACACAGACGAGCAAUAGAACUCUGGUGCAGAAUGUAUCUGUGACAGGCAGAUCCCCCUCUCAGGAUUACUAUAUGCCAGCGGAACCCAUUCGGGAGACUGAGGUAUAACGGGGCGGCAGUCUUGCCCGCCGCCACACUUAUCCUGUCGGAGUACAAACAAAUCCGUGUAGUGAACGCAUUUCGGCAGGGCACAGACCCGCGCUACAGGAGCGAGCACAGCAGCAAC
rnacentral:misc_RNA from 1 species